rnacentral:rRNA from 1 species
AUAUCAAUAAGCGGAGGAAAAGAAACUAACAAGGAUUCCCCUAGUAACGGCGAGUGAACCGGGAAUAGCCCAACUUGAAAAUCUCCCCUUGGAGAAUUGUAGUCUAGAGAAGCGCCCUCUGUGGCGACCAGGGCCCAAGUUCACUGGAAAGUGGCGUCAGAGAGGGUGAGAACCCCGUCGGCUCUUGGUUCAGUCACUUCACGAGGUGCUUUCGACGAGUCGGGUUGUUUGGGAAUGCAGCCCAAAAUGGGAGGUAAAUCCCUUCUAAGGCUAAAUAUUGGCGAGAGACCGAUAGCGCACAAGUA